rnacentral:rRNA from 1 species
ACGAAGGGUGCUAGCGUUGUUCGGAAUUACUGGGCGUAAAGCGUACGUAGGCGGCUUGGUAAGUCGGUUGUGAAAGCCCCAAGCUCAACUUGGGAACUGCAACCGAUACUGCUUGGCUAGAGUUUAGUGGGGGAUGGUGGAAUUUCUAGUGUAGGGGUGAAAUCCGUAGAUAUUAGAAGGAAUACCGGUGGCGAAGGCGACCAUCUACGCUAACACUGACGCUAAGGUACGAAAGCGUGGGGAGCAAACAGG